rnacentral:rRNA from 1 species
AGCUAUAAGUUCUCUGUAUCGCAGCUAACGCAAUAAGCACUCCGCCUGGGGAGUACGACCGCAAGGUUGAAACUCAAAGGAAUUGACGGGGGCCCGCACAAGCGGUGGAGCAUGKGGUUUAAUUCGAAGCWACGCGAAGAACCUUACCAGGUCUUGACAUACUCGUGCUAUUCCUAGAGAUAGGAAGUUCCUUCGGGACACGGGAUACAGGUGGUGCAUGGUUGUCGUCAGCUCGUGUCGUGAGAUGUUGGGUUAAGUCCCGCAACGAGCGCAACCCCUAUUGUUAGUUGCCAUCAUUAAGUUGGGCACUCUAACGAGACUGCCGGUGAUAAACCGGAGGAAGGUGGGGAUGACGUCAAAUCAUCAUGCCCCUUAUGACCUGGGCUACACACGUGCUACAAUGGAUGGUACAACGAGUCGCGAGACAGUGAUGUUUAGCUAAUCUCUUAAAACCAUUCUCAGUUCGGAUUGUAGGCUGCAACUCGCCUACAUGAAGUCGGAAUCGCUAGUAAUCGCGGAUCAGCACGCCGCGGUGAAUACGUUCCCGGGCCUUGUACACACCGCCCGUCACACCACGGGAGUUGGGAGUACCCGAAGUAGGUUGCCUAACCG